rnacentral:rRNA from 1 species
AGAGUUUGAUCCUGGCUCAGAACGAACGGUGGCGGUGUGCUUACUACAUGCAAGUCGAGCGUGCUUUGGGGGUAACUCUGGAGCAAGCGGCGGACGGGUGAGUAAUGUGUAGACAACCUGCCCUUAAGAGGGGGAUAACGAUUCGAAAGGAUCGCUAAUACCGCAUACAAUUAUACAGACAUAAGUAUGUAUAAUGAAAGUGGGGGACCUUUUUCGGAAGGCCUCAUACUUGAGGAGGGGUCUAUAUCCUAUUAGCUAGUUGGUAGAGUAAGAGCCUACCAAGGCGAUGAUGGGUAGCCGGCCUGAGAGGGUGAUCGGCCACACGGGCACUGAGACACGGGCCCGACUCCUACGGGAGGCAGCAGUAGGGAAUUUUGGGCAAUGGGGGCAACCCUGACCCAGCGACACCGCGUGAGGGAAGAAGGCCUUCGGGUUGUAAACCUCUAACACGUAUUAGGAAGGCUUUAUGUGAUAAUACCAUGUAGAGAUUGACGAAAGUACGAAAUGAAGUCAUGGCUAACUCCGUGCCAGCAGCCGCGGUAAUACGGAGAUGACAACCGUUGUUCGGAAUCACUGGGCUUAAAGCGCACGUAGGCGGGAUGAUAAGUUGGCUGUGAAAUACCAGGUUUUAUGCGUGGGGUGUCAGCCAAAACUAUUAUUCUUGAGGACGGUAGGGGAGAGUGGAAUUCCUGGUGGAGCGGUGAAAUGCGUUGAUAUCAGGAGGAACGCCGGAGGCGAAGGCGACUCUCUGGGCCGGACCUGACGCUGAGGUGCGAAAGCCAGGGGAGCAAACGGGAUUAGAUACCCCGGUAGUCCUGGCCGUAAACGAUGGGUACUAAGUAGGGGGGCGACUCCCUGCCGGAGCAAAAGUGUUAAGUACCCCGCCUGGGGAGUAUGGUCGCAAGGCUGAAACUCAAAGGAAUUGACGGGGGCUCGCACAAGCGGUGGAGCAUGUGGUUUAAUUCGAAACAACGCGAAGAACCUUACCUGAGCUCACAUUGUAGGAUUAGACUUCUGAAAGGGAGUUGACGCUCUUCGGAGUGGAACUAUGACAGGUGUUGCAUGGCUGUCGUCAGCUCGUGCCGUGAGGUGUUGGGUUAAGUCCCAUAACGAGCGAAACCUUUGUCCUUAGUUGCCAGCGGGUAAUGCCGGGGACUCUAAGGAGACUGCAGGCGUUAAGCCUGAGGAAGGUGGAGAUGACGUCAAGUCAUCAUGGCCCUUAUGCCCAGGGCUACACACGUGCUACAAUGGUUGGUACAAAGGGAGGCGAGACCGUAAGGUGGAGCAAAUCCCCAAAAGCCAAUCUCAGUUCGGAUUGAGGGCUGCAAUUCGCCCUCAUGAAGUUGGAAUCGCUAGUAAUCGUGGGUCAGCAAUACCACGGUGAAUGUGUUCCCGAGCCUUGUACACACCGCCCGUCAAGCCACCGAAGCAGGGGCGGCCUGAAGUCACUGACCCAACUAUACGCGAGUAUGGAGGGAGGUGCCCAAGGAAGCUUUUGUGACGGGGACUAAGUCGUAACAAGGUA